rnacentral:lncRNA from 1 species
AAUUAAUGCCUUUGGCAUUUUCGGUGACAUAACCGUUUGACCGUGAUGAUGUCCGUUUAUUUCUUGUUCUCUACUUUAGAGACAAUCUGCUUUAUCCAUCUAUAUAUCAGACGUUCAAAGAGAGAGAGAGAGAGAGAAGUGAUUAUGUUCUUUUGUGAGCGUGUGAGAUCUACUCAGGGUAAGGAAAACACGAGAGAGUUCAAACGUGUGAGUUAGGGUUUUUUGGGUGUGAGUUAAGACCCAUUCUAAGUGAUUCCGGUUAAACCUAGUGGAUUUUGGACGAGUAAAAUAGACAAGGUAUAUGUUGGAGUGUUAAUUCCUAGAUCACCGCCGGUGGAUUUUGUUGGACCGGGUAUUUGUUGGAGUGUUAAUUCCACCGCCGGUGGAUUUUGGACGGGUAAAACAGACAAGGAAAAUGAAAGCUCUACAUAGCUUCUUUGUUAUUUUCAGAUCCUAGAUCAGGAACUGGUUUCUCUUAUUUACUCAUAUUUGUAAUAGUUGGGAUGUUUAUCUAUUCAAGUUUUAGUGUGUUCAAACGGGUACCCAAGUAUCAUAGCAACUUCGUGUUAAAGAUGUCUGUUUUAACAAAUAAGGAGUACAAGAUCUAUCUAGAUCUUGCACAGGUACAUCUAUUUUUCUGAUAAAAUACUGGAGAUCUGUGGUGAAGUUUAAGGUCUCGCUCCUCCACUACAGAACUGUCUAACACAUAGUUCAAGCAAAAUCUUUACUCCCCGGUCUCUCUGCACCAAACCUCCUUGUCUGGGCCGCUAAGUGCCUUAGGAAUCUGGCGACGGGGGUUGUCCAUGUGCAGUUGAUUUCGCAAUUUACUCUUCCGCAAUCUUAUACUAUGACCAUGUGUGGUCUUUUUACUGAUCUUGAUUGUGACCCUGUGUGGCCUUGCCGUGAUCUUAUAUUGUGACCCUGUGUGAUCUUGUUAUUGAUCUUGUAUGUGAGCCUGUGUGGCCUUGCUUAAUAUCUUUGUGUGAUCCUAUAAGGUCUUAUCUGCUCUGUUUGAGUUAUAUGUAGUAUCUUUCUUCACUUGUAACAGUGAGUGCUUAUGUGAUGACCCCUUUUGAUGGUAAAUGUGAAUUUUCAAUCUGGAAAAAAAAUGAAAGGGAUACUUGUUCAGUAAAAAUAUUUUAAGGCCAUAACCUUAUCUUGUGAAGCUAUUUUAGAUGCUGUUAAAAAAAUUGAAUGUGA